GCCUCCUUUUUCGAAAGACAUUAACUAACAUUAACCAGUUACCGACCUGAGUUCACUUGAAGCAGUUAGGUUAAAUGCCUCUUGGACAUUCUGGCAUAUUUGUCAAAUAUUAGAAACCACUUACAGAAACACAUAACUUAAAAACUCAGCACAUUAAGGAGAGGGGCUUUCGCUGCUCAGCUGAGGGAUUACCAUGAAGGCCACCAAACUCCAACAGCAGUAUGUGAGAUAUGAGACCCCCAAAAGUUGUGGAUUAGUUAUGAGAAGGACAAAUACUCCUGGUUAGAUGCGCUAGACUAAGUUAUCUGAACUAAAUGUUGUCAAUUUAUAGAUAUUGUCAAGUGAUGUUGCGAAGCCAUGCACCAGCUCCUCUGCUGAUGUAGAAUUGGAUAGAGACAAUGAGUAAAGUUAGCUGUCACUGAAAUUGCCAAGUCACUGUAUUUCUGCAUCUGUCACUACUUGUGAGGUUUCUUGUCUCCUUCCCUCCCUUUUAUUCCACUGUUUCCCUUUCUCUGUGUUUGUCUUGUUUGUCUGCUCACCUGGAGAUGGACUCAACUCACCUUGCUGCAAUCAAGUCUGCUCACCUGCUGCUAAUCAUCAAUCAAGCCAUCAGCUCUCUCUGCAGUACUUAAGCCCGGCUCAGUCCUCCACUCAUCGUCAGAUCGUCUGUUCACCAAGCAUGCAACUUUUCAAGAACCAAACGCCCAGCUCCAGAACCACUCACCAUCUAUAAUGCACCCUGGAAACCUGAACGCCACCUGCAAGUUAUCUCAUUAAGACCCUGUUUUCAAGACUUCAUCCGUGCCUCCGUUUUGUCUGCACUGUAGGUCCUACCUGGAUUCGUUACACUACUGGCCUACUACUUGAAUGCGAUGAGUCAGGCUGCUGUUUGAUUUGGUUGCUGGUUUGAUCACAUUUUCACUUCAAAGCUGAGACCACCACUUCUUGGCAAUCUCAGCUUGCUUGUUUGCCUCUGCAUCAACGUCUGAAUGCUUUGUCCCCAUUUAUCUGAACAACCUGGGUCAAGGAGCUAAAUGCCUGGAACAAACAUCAAGAUGUCAAAGCACCAUAAAUGUAUUUGUCUGCUAAAUGAAACCUUGUUUGACUUUA